rnacentral:rRNA from 1 species
UACGUAGGGGGCAAGCGUUAUCCGGAAUUACUGGGCGUAAAGCGUGCGCAGGCGGUUCGGGAAGAGAGGUGUGAAAUCCCAGGGCUUAACCUUGGAACUGCACUUUUAACUACCGGGCUAGAGUACGGCAGAGGGGGGUGGAAUUCCGCGUGUAGCAGUGAAAUGCGUAGAGAUGCGGAGGAACACCGAUGGCGAAGGCAGCCCCCUGGGCUGACACUGACGCUCAGGCACGAAAGCGUGGGGAGCAAACAGG